UUUUAAUUCCCCACUGCAAAAAUAUCUUGCUCAGUUAUCAAAAAACAAUUUCUAAUCAAGUACAAUAUUGUUGUUUAUUUAUUUGUAUAGGUGAAAGCUCUUACUGCUCUUGGUGGGCAGAAUUUGGCAGACACGGUGAGGACAAUGCUGAGGAAAAUUGCCACAAACAAAGUCCUGGAGCAGCUUGGCCUCCAUGGAAAGUCAGGAAAAGUGGCGUUUGAGGACUUGCCCCUUUACAGAAUAAUAAAUAAGGCAUGCAGGGGUGUUUACAAGCAGACGACCACAGCUGAAGUGGAUUGUGAGCUUGGAGAGGUCCUGAAACUGGCCACUUUUCGAAAGGGAGGUUCAAAAUUUGAGGAGAAGAGGAGGAAUUAAGAGGGAGGACAAAAAAGGAAAAAGAAACAAGCAAAAGAACAGAGUGAGAUGAGAGGAUUUGGGUUUCCCUGCUUGGGCUGCUGCCCCCGCGACCUCGGAUAAGCGGAAGACGAUGGAUGGAUGGAUUUACUUCCAGGAAGAGAACCAAGAAGGGGCAGGAUACACUGACGCGCACGACCAAGACCAC